UUGUAGGGAAGCUCACUUAAUUACACUGGUGAUGAAAUUGUCUUUUCUCUUUUCUUGAGCUUAAGCAGUUAUGCCUUGGGCCCAACUUUCCUGACCUUGUGAGUAAAUUGAGCCACAUGUUCAGCAGAAGAUAUCACAGUAGCUGUAUUUUUCUCCUCGGCUUCUUCUGUCUCCACUCUCCCUCCUGAACUCAAUGUCCCAGCCACAUUGUCCUUCCAAUGCUAGAACAAGGCCUCUGGGCCUUCCCAGUGCCUAGAACACUUCUCUCCUUUCCGCUCCCCUGACUCCCACUUUAGCUUAGUCAACCUCUUUUAACUUUCAGCU
rnacentral:lncRNA from 1 species